UACAGAGGUCUCAAGCGUUGUUCGGAUUCAUUGGGCGUAAAGGGCGCGUAGGCGGCGCGGUAAGUCGGAUGUGAAAUCUCGGGGCUUAACUCCGAAACUGCAUUCGAUACUGCCGUGCUUGAGGACUGGAGAGGAGACUGGAAUUUACGGUGUAGCGGUGAAAUGCGUAGAUAUCGUAAGGAAGACCAGUGGCGAAGGCGGGUCUCUGGACAGUUCCUGACACUGAGGCACGAAGGCCAGGGGAGCAAACGGG
rnacentral:rRNA from 1 species